UCGAGUUCUUUGCGCUCCAUCGUUUCCGCCGGUAGCUUCUAUGUUCUGCGGCCGCUGCCACCAUCCCUGAUACUCCGCCGUCGGAUCUCUCACUCUCUCUCUAUUAACUCGCUUUCCUUCUUGUGUCGUUCGAGUUCACAUUCAGGUUGAAGCUUGCAAAAAAUGUUAGCACUGGAGAAGUUUGUAGCUUCUAAUGGGAGAAUCAUCUGGGGUUGGUUGUUCCUUAUCGUUGGAGCCUUUUCUUUCACAAGUUUCCUCUAUGCUGCUGUUAUAUCUAAGCUUCAGCCUCCAUCUCAUAAUGUUAUCAUCCGUGCCAUACAAAAUGACUGGUAUUAUUGCUUCUUGAUUCCCAUGACACUUCCAAUCCUUUUUGUUGCGGUGUAUUUUCAUUGGCUGAGCAUGAAGUUGUUCAAGCAUGCCUAAUCUUACAACUACCGACUUCACUCAGCAACAAUUCAGUAAGACCAUCUGCCGCUGUCGUGCACAUAAUCAAUCUCCACUGUGUUUCUCUGUGGAUAUCGAGCUCCCAUGGUACAAGAAAGACCCAAAGGUUGAUUGUGAAGAUUGAAAUUAGCAUUGGCUGUGUGUAUACACAACGGUGGGUAUUACAAUUCAUACCUGAGCUGCAUCAAGCAUGGAAAUGCUGCAAAGCUUACUAGGCAUAUUUUCUUACUUGAUCCUGUGUUUCUUGUUGUGGAACCUUUAUUGAUACGGUAACAACUCUAUUUAAUUCUAUUUAAUUUAAUUUAAUUUAA